GGUGACUUCACCCUGGGUCUCUGCUUUCCCUUCCUUGCUCUCUUUACUUUUCGUGGACAGCAGCUGCCGCCAGCCCACAGCACUGAUCUGAGACGCCGGGUUACAGCUGGACCUCUCCCAAGGGCCGAUUUUACACCAGCUAUGAGGCUACUAUGAAUUCCAGAUGCAUUUCCCGAGCUGUCAAUGAGGUGGAAAGAUGGGAUUGGCAUUAUGAAGAUUUGUUGCGUUGCGGCUCCAUUCUGUGUAAUUGCAAUGGAAGGUCACAGCUCAGAGGCACUGCAGUCCGGAUGAGAUGGAGAUAGCUUCCAAUGGGCUUGGCUAAGACUUUUGAAAGGAAGAUCAUACACAAACCUACUUGCAUCUUCAGUAUUCAGUGGUAAUUACAGUAACAACCCCUGAGGAUCUACCGAAG
rnacentral:lncRNA from 1 species